AAGAUGAUUUUUUUCUCCAAUCGAUAAUAUCAAUUCGAAAUUUGGUUACCGCAAUAUCUACAAAACAUGUUGUCGAUUGUUGCUGCUGCAGUCAUUGCAAUAAGUGGAACUAUUGUGCUUUGUGUAGACGAAUGCCGCUUUGUGCUUGCAUUAAGCUUCCUAGUUCUAUGCUGCGCGUUCGUCAUUGCUGGGAAAAGUUGCUGCCUCACCGAAAUACCGACACUAUACAGGCAGAGAAUAGUGUGCGUCUUAGGCAUGGCCUUCGUCUGCUUUCAAUUGUGCAUUGCCGCAUUUCGAGUCAGGAAGUACCGUGACGAUAAAAACAAUUUUCCAUUGGCAGCAUCGACAUCCAUAAUUUAUCUGGCAGCUCAGAUAACGUUAAUUUGCGCUCUACAUUGUGCAAGAAACACUCUGAAGAUAUUGACCGAAGAAAGUCCUCAGUAGAAUCAUUAGAAAACCCAUCAACAGUUUGGGUUCAAUGGUGUUGAAGUGGUGUGUACUGAGUCGCAAUUACAAAAAUGUUUGUGCGAUGUGAAUGGCUUGAAUCUGAAUUGAAUAUGAGAAUAGAUUCGAUGGA